CCGUGCCCCUGCUCGCGCUGCAGCCCGUGGAAGGGUUCCGUCCAGCGUAUCCUUCAGAUCUUGCUGUAGGCCUCUGGUGUCUGUGCGCGCGCGGCAGGGGCGGCGGCGGCGACGGCCGGAGGUGUACGGUCAGCGGGUUGCGGAGGAUCGUGCGGGUCGCAAAGGGAAGCCGAGUGCUCCUGCGGCUCCCAGACUGCAACCAGUUGCUUCCUCUACUGAAGUCUUGAAACCCCUGAAAGUCAUCCCUGAGGUUUGAAGUUAACUUCUUCUACACCCUGUUAAUGUUGAUAUUUUGACCUCCUUCCAUGAAUCACAAAUGUUCUUAAUGGCAUCUAGAAUGAACAUGCAUCAUUAUUAGAACCAUCACCCUGCAGCUAGCUUGGAUACCAUUAAAAGGGCUCAUCAGCUGCAAACGGAUUAAAGUAUCUGAUACUCGGGAAGACAGAGUUUCAGGGUUUCUACCUGGAGCUACACCCUCAGGAAGCCCCUCCUUGGCCUCCCUGCACCCAGUCCCAUCCCAACCAGUCACAUCUUGGGCUGUGCGUGGUGUUUCUUGGAAACUGGAACACAGACUCCUCCAGCAGCUCCACAGGUCCCUUGUCCUCAAUGAGCAGAAGACUACAGGAGCUGGCUACUGAAGAGGCUGUCCAAGUAAUAGAGCACCUUCUUGGCCCUGCUUAGCACAUUUACUGCAGAGCUGGAUGCUACUUAUUUGUGCUCACCACCUUCAGGGACUGCAGAGAGAUUUGUCAGACCCUACUUCACUAAGGGCCACCCUCUAAGGAUCUCCAGAAGAGGCUGCCCAUAGAGAGAAGUGGCCUGCCUAGGGUCUCCACUUCCUCAGGUCCUACCCGGACACCUCUAGGGCUGAGGGGAUCAGUAUCUCUUCACCUGCCUGUAAUCCACAUACCAAGUGGAAGAAUCUGCCUGCUAUUUUUUGUUUGUUUGUUUGUUUUGGCGGGAAGAGUUUUAACUACUGCUGUAACUCCUUUAGUAGCUAUGGAACUGUUGAGGAUUUCUUUUUCUUCUUGAGUCGAUUUUGGUAAGAUAACAGUUUUCUAGGAGUUGGUCCAUUUUGUCUGCAUUUUCAAAUUCAUUGGCAUAAAGUUUCCUUUUUAUUCUGUGCUGUGUAUGAACUGUAACAAUGUCUCCUUUUUCAUUACUGAUAUUGGUUAUUUGUGCCUUCUCACUUUUUUUCUUGAUCAAUCUCACCAGAGGUUUAUCUAUUUUAUUAGUCUUUUCAAAGAACCAACUUUUGGCUUUGUUGCUCCUCUCUAUUGUAUCUUUGUUUUCUAUUUCUUUAAUUUCUGCUCUUAUCUUUUUUGAUCUCCUUCCUUCCACAUUUUUUGGGUUUAUUCUGUUGUUCUUUUUCUAAUUUAACUGGACAUUGAGCUCAUUAGUUUUCAUUCUUUCCCAUUUUCUAAUUUGUGCAUUUAAGGAUAUAAUUUCCCUCUAACUCCUGCUUCUCCAUAAGUUUAGAUAUGUAGUAUUUUCAUUAUUGCUCAGUUAUAAGUACUUCAUUUCUAUCAAGGUUACUUCUUUGACCUGUAAGUUAUAUAGAAAUGUGUUUUUAGAUUUCCAAAUGUUUGGGGAUUUAAAAUUUUAUCUCUUUGUUAUUGAAAUCUGUCUUAAUUGCAUUAUGGUCAGAGGAUGUGGUUUGUGUGACAACAACUCUGAAAUUUUUUAGACUUGUUUUAUGGCUUAGUAUGUGACCAAUAUUUUUGAAUGCUUCCUGUGUGCUAAUUUAUAAGAAUGUGUGUUCUCUAAUUGUUGAAUACAGAGAUCUACAUAUGUCUAUUAUCAAGUUUGUGAACUAUUGUUCAAUUUUUACUUACCUAUACUGAUUUUUUUGGUCAUUAUCUACUGAUAAUUGAAAGAGGUGCGUUAAUGUUCAACUGUAAUGGUGGAUUUGGCAAUUUCUCCUUGUAAUUCUAUCUCGUUUCUUGCUUUAUAUAUUUUGAGGGUGUUCAUUAGGAAUAUUCAAAUUAAAAAUUGU
rnacentral:lncRNA from 1 species